UACGGAGGGUGCAAGCGUUAUCCGGAUUCACUGGGUUUAAAGGGUGCGUAGGUGGGCAGGUAAGUCAGUGGUGAAAUCUCCGGGCUUAACUCGGAGACUGCCAUUGAUACUAUCUUUCUUGAAUACCGUGGAGGUCAGCGGAAUAUGUCAUGUAGCGGUGAAAUGCUUAGAUAUGACAUAGAACACCAAUUGCGAAGGCAGCUGGCUACACGAAUAUUGACACUGAUGCACGAAAGCGUGGGGAUCAAACAGG
rnacentral:rRNA from 1 species